CAGGCGGCUCACUGAGGGCAUGUCUUAGAGGGUUCGUCCCCCACGGACAUCCUGCCCCUGCUCUCUGCUUUCCGACUGCCAUGACCGAGCAGCUUUGCCCCAUCAGGCUCCACCAUGUUGCUAGCUUGGAGCCAGCUGAGGACGGACUGAAGCCUCUGAAAUGUGUACCGGAACAACUGCCCCUCCUAUAAUUUGCGAGUAUCAGCUCUUUGUCCCCAUAACAAGGAAGCUAAUGAAUAAUGAACAAGAAAGUACAUUUAGCGAGUGUGUACUUCACAAUUCUUUGCCUGCCAUAUGUAAGAACUUGGAAUCUGUUGGAUCCACCACCCGAUAACAGGUAUGUAUGCCAUAGCCUGAAC
rnacentral:lncRNA from 1 species